rnacentral:rRNA from 1 species
GCAAGUCGAACGGUAACAUUUCUAGCUUGCUAGAAGAUGACGAGUGGCGGACGGGUGAGUAAUGCUUGGGAACUUGCCUUUGCGAGGGGGAUAACAGUUGAAAACGACUGCUAAUACCGCAUAAUGUCUUCGGACCAAACGGGGCUUAGGCUCCGGCGCAAAGAGAGGCCCAAGUGAGAUUAGCUAGUUGGUAAGGUAACGGCUUACCAAGGCGACGAUCUCUAGCUGUUCUGAGAGGAAGAUCAGCCACACUGGGACUGAGACACGGCCCAGACUCCUACGGGAGGCAGCAGUGGGGAAUAUUGCACAAUGGGGGAAACCCUGAUGCAGCCAUGCCGCGUGUGUGAAGAAGGCCUUCGGGUUGUAAAGCACUUUCAGUUGUGAGGAAAAGUUAGUAGUUAAUACCUGCUAGCCGUGACGUCAAUAACAGAAGAAGCACCGGCUAACUCCGUGCCAGCAGCCGCGGUAAUACGGAGGGUGCGAGCGUUAAUCGGAAUUACUGCGCGUAAAGCGCACGCA